CACGUAGGGCGCAAGCGUUGUCCGGAAUUAUUGGGCGUAAAGAGCUCGUAGGCGGUUUGUCACGUCGGAUGUGAAACCCUGAGGCUCAACCUCAGGCCUGCAUUCGAUACGGGCAGACUAGAAUUCGGCAGGGGAGACUGGAAUUCCUGGUGUAGCGGUGAAAUGCGCAGAUAUCAGGAGGAACACCGGUGGCGAAGGCGGGUCUCUGGGCCGAUAUUGACGCUGAGGAGCGAAAGCGUGGGGAGCAAACAGG
rnacentral:rRNA from 1 species